CUUGCUGUGGCGGCUAGGCCGCCGUGCACCUACCGGGAUGCUUGCCCCUGUUUUGCUUGUGGUCUCGGUCUGUGCUUGCCUCCUCCCUGGGGUUGCUCAAUUUGAGCUGCUAGAUAACAGCUUGUCUCAUUUAGCCGCAAGGGUCCCCCUGGCGCGCGGCGAGACGAAGCUUGGCUUGUACUCCUCCCAGACGCGGCUUGCUCAGUGCACUGAGAGGGUUUCACCGGUGUCUGGUGAGAACUUGUACAGGCAGGUCCGCAGCAGCACGCAGCGGAGCAUUCCGUCUUCCUGGCGCUGGCACACCAGAAUGUGGAAGUAAUGCCAUCUUGGAUAAUGUAGCCACAUGUUACUGUGAGCUUCACUUCUCAUCACCAUCAUGGCGCCUGGGUUGUGGGGUAGUUUGACUUGAAUGUGAAUAGACAGGUCCAGCAAGGGACUUUCCCAGCCAUGUUUCAGCUGUCCUGCUACUUCUGAGCCUUUG
rnacentral:lncRNA from 1 species